AGAGUUUGGUCCUGGCUCAGAUUGAACGCUGGCGGCAGGCCUAACACAUGCAAGUCGAACGGUAGCACAGAGAGCUUGCUCUCGGGUGACGAGUGGCGGACGGGUGAGUAAUGUCUGGGAAACUGCCUGAUGGAGGGGGAUAACUACUGGAAACGGUAGCUAAUACCGCAUAACGUCGCAAGACCAAAGAGGGGGACCUUCGGGCCUCUUGCCAUCAGAUGUGCCCAGAUGGGAUUAGCUAGUAGGUGGGGUAAYGGCUCACCUAGGCGACGAUCCCUAGCUGGUCUGAGAGGAUGACCAGCCACACUGGAACUGAGACACGGUCCAGACUCCUACGGGAGGCAGCAGUGGGGAAUAUUGCACAAUGGGCGCAAGCCUGAUGCAGCCAUGCCGCGUGUAUGAAGAAGGCCUUCGGGUUGUAAAGUACUUUCAGCGGGGAGGAAGGUGUUGUGGUUAAUAACCGCAGCAAUUGACGUUACCCGCAGAAGAAGCACCGGCUAACUCCGUGCCAGCAGCCGCGGUAAU
rnacentral:rRNA from 1 species